ensembl:lncRNA
GUGCAGAAGGACACUAGCCCUAAGCAUGUGCCACUUCAUGCCCCUGUCACGUGCUCCUCCGUCUUCCUGACUCCACUUUCUCGGGUCCAUUCCUGGCCAGAAGAUGAAAGAAGCCACAGUAAAACCUGGCUGCCUGGGUCUAUCUUUCCCUACAUGGAGAAAGCACCAAUUGAAAUGGAAUAUACCUUGAAAAAUCAGAGUUCUGGAGAAUCAGAGAAGGGAGAGAUCACAAACAGCUCCAUGGAAUCCAUGAGCACUGAAGAGAGGUAGGUCAGGCAGCAUCUGGAGGAGGGCACUCUGGAAACAACACUGUGGGCACUGGUACAGACACGAAAAGAAAAACAAAUGUUCAGGGGACAGAUUGCUUGAAACACAAGGUUUGGGUAUGCCAAGAUGACCGAAAAGAGGUGCUAUCUUGGGUUGCUGUUAAUAAUAAGGCAUUUGUGUGUUUCUCCAUAACUAAAAAGGGCUUCCGUGGUGGCUCAGACAGUAAAGAAUCUGCCUGCAAUGCAGGAGACCCGGGUUCCAUCCCUGGGUCAAGAAGAUCUCCUGGAGAAGGGAAUGGCAACCCACUCUCGUAUUCUUGCUUGGAGAAUUCCAUGGACAGAGCAGCCUGGCGGGCUACAAUCCAUGGGUUUGCAAAGAGUCAGAUACGACUGAGCGACUAACACACACACCAUAACUAAAAGAGCAGUGUUGUAUUAGUUACCUAUUCCUGUUGUAUUGUUACCUAUACCAAAAAAUUACUUAUUGGUUUAAAACAACCCAAAUUUAUUAUUGUACAACUCUCUAGAGCAG